rnacentral:rRNA from 1 species
CAGCCGCCGCGGGAAUACGAAGGGGGCUAGCGUUGCUCGGAAUGACUGGGCGUAAAGGGCGCGUAGGCGGAUGGCACAGUCAGAUGUGAAAUUCCCGGGCUUAACCUGGGGGCUGCAUUUGAUACGUGUUGUCUAGAGUGAGGAAGAGGGUCGUGGAAUUCCCAGUGUAGAGGUGAAAUUCGUAGAUAUUGGGAAGAACACCGGUGGCGAAGGCGGCGACCUGGUCCUUUACUGACGCUGAGGCGCGAAAGCGUGAGGAGCAAACAGGAUUAGAUACCCCGGUAGUCCCUGUCUCUUAUAC